GGGUCGCUAACUCAAUUGGUAGAGUACUCGGCUUUUAACCGAAUAGUUCUGGGUUCGAGUCCCAGGCGACCCAUCA
rnacentral:tRNA from 1 species